rnacentral:rRNA from 1 species
UACGUAGGGUGCAAGCGUUGUCCGGAAUUAUUGGGCGUAAAGAGCUCGUAGGCGGUCUGUCGCGUCGGCUGUGAAAUCCCGAGGCUCAACCUCGGGUCUGCAGUCGAUACGAGCAGACUAGAGUGUUGCAGGGGAGACUGGAAUUCCUGGUGUAGCGGUGAAAUGCGCAGAUAUCAGGAGGAACACCGGUGGCGAAGGCGGGUCUCUGGGCCGAUACUGACGCUGAGGAGCGAAAGCGUGGGGAGCGAACAGG